UACGAAGGGGGCUAGCGUUAUUCGGAAUUACUGGGCGUAAAGCGCACGUAGGCGGAUAUUUAAGUCAGGGGUGAAAUCCCAGAGCUCAACUUUGGAACUGCCUUUGAUACUGGGUAUCUUGAGUAUGGAAGAGGUAAGUGGAAUUGCGAGUGUAGAGGUGAAAUUCGUAGAUAUUCGCAGGAACACCAGUGGCGAAGGCGGCUUACUGGUCCAUUACUGACGCUGAGGUGCGAAAGCGUGGGGAGCAAACAGGG
rnacentral:rRNA from 1 species